rnacentral:rRNA from 1 species
CUACGGGCUGCUCCAGUUAAGUAUCUUCUACAAUGCGCGAAAGCGUGAUAGAGCGAGCCAGAGUGUUUCUCAUUUUUGGGAGACUUUUGCCAAAUGUAAAAAGUUUGGCGAAUAAGGACCGGGAAAGACUGGUGCCAGCCGCUGCGGUAAUACCAGCGGUUCGAGUCGCAGCCACAUUUAUUGGGUCUAAAACAUCCGUAGCUUGUUUUGUAAGUCUCUUGUGAAAUCCCAUGUCUCAAAUAUGGGGCGUGCAAGAGAUACUGCAAAGCUAGAGACUGGAAGACGUAAGAAGAACAUGUUGGGUAUCGGUAAAAUGAGUUGAUCCUACAUGGACUAACGACAGCGAAGGCAUCUUACGAGUACAGUUCUGACAGUGAGGGAUGAAGGCUAGGGUCGCAAAACGGAUUAGAUACCCCCGUAGUC